rnacentral:rRNA from 1 species
AUGCAGAAGAAUGCGUGCACUGGUACACUACCUCAUAGGUCUGCCGUUCUUUCUGUCGUUUCCCAUCCCAAUCUUCCAGUUCCAGUAACAGGUACAGAAGACGGUCAUGUUUAUUUGUGGUGCUCCAUUAGUUUCAGGCUCAAGAGGAUACUGAACAUUCAUGGACGUGAAAGGGUCUUGGAGUGCGGGAGAAAUCCCUUGCCGGCUCUCUUCCGGCUCCGAUGCAGUGACACCUGCGGUUGCCACCAUCCCUUCUUGGAGGGUGUCGGAUGUAUCCAUUCCCCACUUCCUUUCGCGUGCCGGGGGAAACCCUAG